rnacentral:rRNA from 1 species
GAGUGGCGGACGGGUGAGUAACGCGUGGAUAACCUGCCCUUUUCCGGGGGAUAGCAGCUGGAAACGGCUGGUAAUACCGCAUAAGCGCUUUUGGAGGCAUCUUUGAAAGCGGAAAGGUUUACUGGGAAAGGAUGGAUCCGCGUCUGAUUAGCCAGUUGGCGGGGUAACGGCCCACCAAAGCGACGAUCAGUAGCCGGCCUGAGAGGGUGAACGGCCACAUUGGGACUGAGACACGGCCCAGACUCCUACGGGAGGCAGCAGUAGGGGAUAUUGCACAAUGGACGGAAGUCUGAUGCAGCGACGCCGCGUGAGUGAAGAAGUAUUUCGGUAUGUAAAGCUCUUUUAGCAGGGAAGAAAGGCCUUCGGGUGAUGACGGUACCUGCAGAAAAAGCCCCGGCUAACUACGUGCCAGCAGCCGCGGUAAUACGUAGGGGGCAAGCGUUAUCCGGAUUCACUGGGUGUAAAGGGGGCGCAGACGGGAGACCAAGUCUGAUGUGAAAGCCCGGGGCUCAACCGCGGGACUGCAUUGGAAACUGGUAACCUGGAGUACAGGAGGGGUGAGCGGAAUUCCUGGUGUAGCGGUGAAAUGCGCAGAUAUCAGGAAGAACACCAGCGGCGAAGGCGGCUCACUGGACUGAGACUGACGUUGAGGCCCGAAAGCGUGGGUAGCAAACAGGAUUAGAUACCCUGGUAGUCCACGCUGUAAACGAUGAAUACUCGGUGUGGGUACGCACAGCGUAUCCGUGCCAAAGCUAACGCAUUAAGUAUUCCACCUGGGGAGUACGUUCGCAAGAAUGAAACUCAAAGGAAUUGACGGGGACCCGCACAAGCGGUGGAGCAUGUGGUUUAAUUCGAAGCAACGCGAAGAACCUUACCAGGCCUUGACAUCCUCCCGAUGCCAUAGAGAUAUGGUUGACCCUUCGAGGGAAGGAGAGACAGGUGGUGCAUGGUUGUCGUCAGCUCGUGUCGUGAGAUGUUGGGUUAAGUCCCGCAACGAGCGCAACCCUUGCCUGUAGUAGCCAGCAUGAAAGAUGGGAACUUUACAGGGACUGCCGGGGUCAACCCGGAGGAAGGUGGGGAUGACGUCAAAUCAUCAUGCCCCUUACGGCCUGGGCGACACACGUGCUACAAUGGCGUAACAAAGGGAUGCAAAAGGGCGACCUGGAGCAAACCCCAAAAAUAACGUCCCAGUUCGGACUGUAGGCUGCAACCCGCCUGCACGAAGCCGGAAUCGCUAGUAAUCGCAGAUCAGAAUGCUGCGGUGAAUACGUUCCCGGGUCUUGUACACACCGCCCGUCACACCAUGGGAGCCGGAAAUGCCCGAAG